GGAACUCUCGGCCCCGACCUACCAGGAAACCAGCAGGCCUCAGGCCCGCUGUGGGGGCUUCCUUCUCCUCCUGUCUCUUCUGUGGGUUUCUAAAGCUGCCAGCCAAGAUAGCCAAGGCCAAAGGAAGCACAUGCCUCUCUCAGGCCAAACUCACCGCCCCCGCCCCCAACUUUCCUCUAGAGUCAGGCCACAGGAAAUGGGAAAUAGAUCUUAUAUUGCCACUCCUUCCCCAAGAGCCCAAGCCUUCUUGGUCUUGACCAUGAGACCAGAGAUGCAAAACUGGGCACCUUGAGGAUCUUAGAGUGGGGUUGCCAAUGGAAACCCAAGGAUGGUCAUCCCCUGCAGCUGGGUAAAAGGAAAGCUUCAGCCCCUGAGGGCUGUUCACAUGGCCCUGAUCUUCUAGACUUGGCUUGACCCAUGGCAGCCCCUUGGCCAAGUUGAAGGCAGAAUGAAAAAGAGGAGAGAAGAGAAUGCACAGAUAGAAGCCGCCAUUUUGAAUCCUUACAGAUAAUGUCCCAAUGGCUCCCACUCCUCCAAAAGGGGUAAUAGUCACCACAGAUUCUCCACGUUCUGGCCACAGGACAGAGGACCCCAUGCGUCUAUCAUAAAGGAUGCCCAAAGAUCCAUCUGAUAUUUGAAGCCCAGGAGAGGAACUGUGGAUUCCAUGAAAAAUCCACAAGCCUUUGACCCAUGGACCUUGCUUUGCUGGUCACCAAGCUGUUUUCUAAACCUCGUUGGCAUUUGGGAACCUGGGAUCUGUGCCAUCUACUCAUCACCCACUCUCCAUGCCUAGCCAGUUGAACUUGGCCUUACUUUCAUCUUGAAAGAAUGACCUCGAUUGAAGUGAAAGUCAAGUUAUCCCUUCUUAAAAGAGGGGUCAGUGUCCUAUUGAACCGGCUAACUUUGGGGUAGGUGGGAAAAUCCUGAGGGGAGCCAAAUAACUCCUGCCUUGGAACAGAAGGUUUUGAGGAAUGGGAUAGAUUCAGGCCCCAAGGGCAGGGAGGGAGAAGCUGCCUCCUGGAGAAUUAACCAAAGACCCAACACAGAGACACAUGCCCUCCUGGCCCCUGGUCUCUUCUCUGGAGCAGCUACGGCCUUGCUGGGCUUGGGGGAGAGAGCAACGUGUGGGCUGCCAGGGAGGGAGGCAGACCAGAUGGUCUGGGGGUUCCACCUUGCUAUCAUGGAUUUUCUAGAGGUCUGGGACUUUAAGAUUCUUAGAGAAGAAUGAGACGUGAAGGGUGAGGUGCAAAGUGUCCUUAAAGAGUGCAUUGUGGGGCCAGCAGGCCUCCCGUGGCCAAGGGUAGAGGGUAAUUUCUGGGCAAGGUAGAGAGGGCCGGAAGUUCUGGACUGAGGACCAGGGGACAACAGCCACUUCUCCCCCCUCUGUCCUGGUGCUGCUGGGAAUCCAGUGAGAAGAGCCACGUUUCUGCCUCCAGGGCCUUCUCGGUGGGGGUGAAGCACCCUCCCUGGGCACAUGUGAUGGAGCCUGUCUCUCCUCCAGACUGAGUGGGACCCCCACCCCCAUGGUUCCCAGAAUCACAGCAGGACGGGCUACACUGGAGGAGGGACCCGAGGGCUAGACUGCAGUGGAGCCCAGGGCACAGAUGAUGGGAAAAGCCAUGCUGUCGUGAGCUCUGCGGGGUCGCGGGAGUGUUCACGUGGAUUUGUCUCUGUAAGUGUGAGCCUGGGGGUUGAGGGGGGGAAACUGAUCUGGACAUAUAAUGUCCAGGGCACACAAUAAUAGGUGACCUUUUGGGAUCUGGUGUGUGUGUGUGUGUGUGUGUGUGCACUUGAGUGAACUGAGGACUAGGAAGACAUAUCUGAACCAGCAGUAGAACCCCAUUUAUGUAAAAACAGGAGAAGCCAUGUCGUAACGGGGUUCUGACGAGUACACAGAGGUACGCAUACAGGCACGGUGUGUCGGCUUGUGUGUGUGUGUGUGUGCGCGCACACACAUUCAUACACUGAAUGGCAGAGGAUGGAGGGCAGGUGAGGCCUGCAGCACAGCCAAAUACAUGUAAAAGGAGAAGCCAUGUCAUCAAGGGGGCCACGCGUGAGCCAGUGAGCACACGGGGAGGCUUGUGUGCCCAGCGGAGAGCAGGAGGUGGGCAGAACCAGACUGUCACGCAGCAUGGGUCCACACAUAGGGCAUGUGAGGAGCAUGUGGAACUGGAGUUUGUGACUGCGUGUGUGAGUGUGCUCGUGCCCAAGUGUUUGGACACACAUGUGUGUUCCAGCUCACGGCAGGAGCAGAGACGGACAAUCAACCAGGAAGGGGACAUCAGGGUCGGUUUGCACUCCUAUCACUGAGGGAUUGUGUGCCACAGAUAUGGGGAGAUGGCACGCGUGUGUGCACGGGUGACGUCCCCGUGGGGAAUCCCUGCAGGGGCUCAUGGCUGGUGACUCCUAUGCUAUAGGCAGAGUGCCCUGUUAGAAGGGAAAACAGCUUUGUAUUUGUGAUUCCUGAUACCAGGACUCUAAUGAACACAUGUAUCGAUUCCCUCCCACCAACCACAGUCAUGGACCACUGUCUCACUUUGUCAGAUACGACUUCAUAGCACAUGCCACGUCCACGCUCAUGGCUCACACGUGUGCUUCCGUGUAGGACGCUGUACGUGCGUGUCGUGUUCUUCUGAGGCUAUGCACCUGUGGAGAUUGUGAUAGACAAAAGGGAAGUGACGUGGGGUUGGAAGUUUUUCAUAAAAGGAAUGAAGAAUGGUUGGAUAAACAGGCACAAUUCAACGAGGGCAGUCCCCAAAAGGUACUGAAAUGGUUUCUAGACUCUUCCAUGGAGGUGGGAUGGCGCACUUCCUGGUCUGUCCCCUCCUCGCCUGUGUCCAGAGGUGUGGCUAGUGUUCAGCCUCUGGCUGAUGUUCCAGAGACCAGCCCAACGGGCCAGGUGCACUGAGACGGCACUGCCUGGGGCCAAGCUGUCCCUCCCAGGGUGCUGAAGGUGGCGCUCCCUCUGUGAGGUGGGAGGGGAGGAGGGUGCUGAGGGAGGUGCUCUUGAGGCGGAUCAAGAGUUCUUACGGUUGGGGCCUGUGCUGCCUGCGGGGGGUGCAGCUGAGCCGGGGCAGAGCCACGCCUGUGUGUGUGUCGGGGCACACGUGGAGUGACAGGAGGCAGGAAAGCUGGUGCAGAUGGAGCAGAAGGUGGACGGUGCCUGAGCGGGUGCUUAAAUAUCCCCAUCUGGUCCCACGUGCCAGCGCUGAGCAGAAGAAGGCCCUCUCCACAAUGCCUGCGCCUGUCCACGUACUCAUGCUGGCCAAACCGAGGAGAGGCCACCCCACCCGACAGUGAGCCCUCCUCUGCCCCUCCCUCCACCUGCUGUGGGCAGACAAGAAUCCCUGAGAGCUCUGUUGGCAUUGGGGUGGCCCCACUCUGCAAGUGUCUAACAAGAGGGAAAGUGCCCCACUGGCCAGUCAGCUGGACUCUACAUCCCUGAGGAUGGAGGGCCACCCCUCCUCAGUCCAGAUGCUGCCUCCGCUGGAAGAGCUCAGCUGGGCUCUGCCCCAACAGCCUCACACCAGAAGAUGCAAACCCUGGUCCAGGAUGUGGGAGGGGUCCAAACCGCUUACCUCCUAGAAAGCAGAAGUCAGACCAGGGCACAGAUUCACCAAGAUGAGUCAGAAGCCCCUCCCUGCCUGCUUUUCCAAGGUGGGGGUCCCGGGAGCAGCUUCUGCUUCCUCACUCAGCAUGAAGCUGGCCCCUCCCUGAGUCACACCGCCGUGUGCACGCACAUCAGAAAGCAGGUUCAACUCAGUGGCCCACAUCUGGAGUGGCCUGCAUGGAUACCCAUCUGGAAAGGCCUCAUGAUGUGGACAAUUGUAUGAGUUUAAUAACAUCUGGGACCAGCCAGUCCCAUGGACAGAUGAGAAAAAAGAAAAAGAAAAAACUAAUGGGCCCAGCUCUGUGAAGGGGUCUGUGGAUUAGACACAUCUGGAAGUUCCAGGUUGGAUGGACACAUCUGGAAUGGGCCCAGACUCUUGCCACAGUGGAAGGGCCCUGCCCUCUGUCCCCAGGCUGGUUGGACUCAAGACCUCAUUUCAGUCCUGAUUUGCCCUGAUGUUAAAAUUUUCAGAGCUGAGGUGGUACACGAAGUCACCAAACAGUUUUAGGUAGAAGGUUAAUGUUCUGUACAAUAUAUAUAUGAAUGUAAAUAUAUAUAUAUAUAUAACUGUAUGUAUAUAUAUAUAUAUGCACAGUGUAUAUACGCCCAUAGCCCAUGUGUAUACCAGCCUUCCCCGCACGUCUGCAGAGUGUACGGGACCCAGCCGGUGUAGGUGGGGACCAGGUGAGAGAUGGGGGCCACUGCAGCAAGGUCUGGGACAGAGGUUUCAGAAAGCCCUUAGGGGUGGGACAGGCCCUUCAUCCAUCAGAGAUUGAAAAAGAGGGUAGAACCGUGCAGGGCUGGCAGGUGGGCCUCGUGUGGGGGCAGAAAGCAGCCACGGGACCUUGUCUGCAUCCAGGAGUCAGAGGCAGGACGGUCUGGGACGCCUGGCAGGAGGAAGGGGCACACCCCAGGGCUGCGGUCCUGCCCACCUGCAGUCCCCGGGCAGGCGUGAAGCUCCACCUGGAGACACCCAGAUGGGGGCUAUUCUGGGCAGCAAAGGCCUCAGAGUGGUGCCACCACACAAGGACACCCCCAGCUUUGUAAAGAGAGGGGCCUGAGGACAUUGCCAGCAUGCCACUACAAUGUCCUGAUGCCCUGGAGGUCACCACUCCUGCUCUCCUGGCCCCUGCCUAUAGAACGGAGGACCUCACCUCACCCAACAGUUUGUCUCUGAGGCCUCCAGGUAGGAGCAAGCAGCCAGGGGCUCGGAAAAAUGCCAGCUGAGAACGUGGUGCCCCUGCGACCCAGACGCACUCUCCAGGGGCCAGAUGUCAGGGAACAAUGGAGGAGACACACAGGUGAAAGGUGGGAGGCCAGAGGCAGCUCCUGUCCCAGCACAGCCCAGUGCCACCUGUCUGCCCGGUCCUCUGUGUCUUCCCCAGAGGGCAAUUGGCAGAGAGCCCCAGCGAGCCACAGACCUGCUGGAUCCAUCUGUGCUCUGCACUUGCAGUUCUUUAGCCCCUCACGGGUCCGUGCACCUCUGGCCCACGCAGGGGAAGACAGAGCUGGAGUAGGCUUGGCUUCUGUGGCGUCUGCAGCCUGCCCUCUGCUUCGGCCCCAGGCAUCAGUCUGCACUUAGCUCUGGGCCCUGGCCAAGUGCAUCUAAAUCCAGCCCCAAGGAGGAUCCUGUCCUGGCCCCACUGGGACCAGAGGCUCCAGAGCCUUCAUGCCACUGUGCUCCGAAACCCCAGCCACCCCUGCCUGGGCUGAAUUCCUGGCUGGGCUUCUGUGAUGGGGACCUCAGUUUCCAGCCCCUGGGCUGAGCCCCCUGGACAGUACCAUGGGCCUCUGAGAGCCCUGGCCUGUCCCACCACCCAGACCAGAGUGCCUGGACACCCCUGCUCCCAUUCAACAAGGUUCCCACACACUGGUCUCUGGGCCAUUCAGGGGAUGCCCUUUGUGGACAUGCAGAAUUUCUAUGAAUAUAGUUUUUUGUAAACAUUUUGUAACAAUUUGGGUUUCAUAGUAACUGUGUUACUUGCCAAUCACUCUAGGCUGAUGUAAAUAAAUUUCCA
rnacentral:lncRNA from 1 species